GGUCUGGUGGUGUAGUUGGAAACAUGUCCUCAAAUCAUAGUACGCAAUAACCCUUCAGUUGGAGGAAGUCCCUUGUUUGAAUCAAGGUCAGGCUA